UACGUAGGGUCCGAGCGUUGUCCGGAAUUACUGGGCGUAAAGAGCUCGUAGGUGGUUUGUCGCGUUGUUCGUGAAAACUCACAGCUCAACUGUGGGCGUGCGGGCGAUACGGGCAGACUAGAGUACUGCAGGGGAGACUGGAAUUCCUGGUGUAGCGGUGGAAUGCGCAGAUAUCAGGAGGAACACCGGUGGCGAAGGCGGUUCUCUGGGCCUGUGCUGACGCUGAGGAGCGAAAGCGUGGGGAGCGAACAGG
rnacentral:rRNA from 1 species